AAGUCGUAACAAGGUAUCCGUAGGUGAACCUGCGGAUGGAUCAUUAGUGAAUUGAAGGCGAGCGCGUUAGCGCGAGUCUUUCAACCCACCCUUGUGCAACGUAACGUACUCUGGGGACUUCUCAGGAGGUUCCCGAGGGGUCUAGGGCGACCUUUAAAAGUCGCCCGAAGCCCAACCAACAAACACUUUGAACCAAAGACUGAAUUCGAAAGAAAUUUCUAAUGUGAAACAACUUUUGACAACGGAUCUCUUGGCUCUC
rnacentral:misc_RNA from 1 species